UCCACCUACGGGAGGCAGCAGUGGGGGAUAUUGCACAAUGGGGGGAACCCUGAUGCAGCGACGCCGCGUGGGUGAAGGAGCGCUUCGGCGCGUAAAGCCCUAUCGGCAGGGAAGAAGAUGACGGUACCUGACCAAGAAGCCCCGGCUAACUACGUGCCAGCAGCCGCGGUAAUACGUAGGGGGGAAGCGUUAUCCGGAUUUACUGGGUGUAAAGGGGGCGCAGACGGCAAUGCAAGCCAGGAGUGAAAGCCCGGGGGACAACCCCGGGACUGCUCUUGGUACAG
rnacentral:rRNA from 1 species